rnacentral:rRNA from 1 species
UCGAACGCGAAAGUCCCCUUCGGGGGACAAGUAGAGUGGCGUCCGGGUGAGUAACACGUAGGUAAUCUACCUUCGGGUGGGGAAUAACGCAGGGAAACUUGCGCUAAUACCGCAUAAUGCAGCGGCACCACAUGGUGACAGUUGUUAAAGCGGGGGAUUUUCGAACCUCGCGCCUGAAGAGGAGCCUGCGGCAGAUUAGCUAGUUGGUAAGGUAAUGGCUUACCAAGGCGACGAUCUGUAACCGGCCUGAGAGGGCGGUCGGUCACACUGACACUGACAUACGGGUCAGACUCCUACGGGAGGCAGCAGUCGGGAAUUUUGGGCAAUGGGCGAAAGCCUGACCCAGCAACGCCGCGUGAAGGAUGAAAUCCCUCGGGAUGUAAACUUCGCAAGAAUGGGAAGAAUGAGUAGGGGCUAAUACUCCCUAUGAUGACGGUACCAUUUGUAAGCUCCGGCUAACUCCGUGCCAGCAGCCGCGGUAAUACGGGGGGAGCAAGCGUUGUUCGGAUUUACUGGGCGUAAAGGGCGCGUAGGCGGCCAGCGCAAGUCAGUUGUGAAAUCUCCGGGCUUAACUCGGAACGGUCAACUGAUACUGCGCGGCUAGAGUGCGGAAGGGGCAACUGGAAUUCUCGGUGUAGCGGUGAAAUGCGUAGAUAUCGAGAGGAACACCUGCGGCGAAGGCGGGUUGCUGGGCCGACACUGACGCUGAUGCGCGAAAGCCAGGGGAGCGAACGGGAUUAGAUACCCCGGUAGUCCUGGCCUUAAACGAUGGAUGCUUGGUGUCUGGAGUUUUAUAGUCUCCGGGUGCCGCAGCUAACGCGUUAAGCA